rnacentral:misc_RNA from 1 species
AUGAUACCCCCUGUGAGAACUCUUUGAGAACUCUUUGAUGACGACUCUAUCCCAAAUUCGUGAUACCCUUUACAAUUAAUUUAUUAUCUUCUCUACCUCUCAAGCUGAUACAUAGAGUAAGAGAACUAAGAUCGAGCAGUGAGACCGUGUAG